CGUGACGUUAAGGUGAAGGACAUGCAUGCCUAAAGAGAUUAGGCAAAAUUUCCCCUCACCCAAUCAUGUUGUACCAUGUAAUUUGGCUAAACUUUUUGCCUAUUACCUAAAAAGAUAAGGGGUGCAUGCCUAAAUUGAGAUACAAACUAAUUAAAAAAAAAACAAGGUUGAUUGGUAAAUAGAGGAUAUGGGCUCACCACUUACCUCCUCUCUCUCUUCUUGCCGCAUGCGGCAUACUCUCACUGAAAUAUUCCUCCUUUCACCUUUUUGCAGCGCGGCACAUUAUUGAUGGUGGUGGGGUUGCCGAUCGGCAUGGAGUUUGACGCACAGUCAUGCCGCGACCACCCCGUUACCCCUUAUAACAUGUUUGUACUAGUAAUAAAUUAUUAUCUCACAUAAGUAGUCAUAAUUGCUAAUUGAUUGCAUUAAAGUUAAAAUAAAAUAAAUAUUAAAAUAUUGCAAUCUCAAUUUUCAUAAAUCUUGAAUGGUUACAUAACACCACUAUCUUAGAAGUCGUAUAAGAACUUCUCAAACAAUGGCUGUUCAUCUGCAUCCAAACACACUGCUAGUGACAUACUCCUAUCAUUGUUCGGGCUUGGUAGAACAUAAAUGGUCCCCUCGUAUAAUAUACACGCGGGUCCCAUGAAUACGGGUCUACCCCACCCGAAAUCCGCAUCAUGCACUGGCAACCGAGUCCACGUGUUAAUGUUUAGGUUCGGGCUCGCAAAGUAACUUGGACCACGAAUUAAGGCUGAUAGAUCGGGCUGCACCUCAAGGUAGUCGAUGGCGGAUCGCAAAUAGUCGUUAUCCAUUUUUGACAAAGUUGUCCGGAUCAACGAUGCUGCAUUGGCCAACGGUUGAGUCGUGAGGUCAGCCGAUUUAGCAAUCGGGGUGGCAGUGAACACAACAUUCCCUAGGUAGCCCGGUGGGAGUUGGGGGCUCAAUCUGGAUCGUCCGUCUGUAGCCACGUACAGUUUGGUUAGUUGGUCAUCGGGGAGUCCACGAGCCUUGCACGCGCAACGCCAUAAGUGAGCCGCUAGGAUCUCGUACGUGCUAUAGUUGGUGUUUCCACCAUCAUUCUUGGCUGCGGCUUUGAGAGCAUUGAGUUGGUCAAGUGUAAGCUUAAGAAUAGUGGUGGAGGGCUUUCGGCUGGAUUCAGGCUUCUGUGAGUCAGGUUUCAUCGACGGAGGGGGGUGGUACUCGACAUGGUCAAAAGUGGGAGUGGGGGGUUCACGUGCACGAAGCAAGGUGCGGUCGAUAAAUGGUGGGAUGGCAAUGGAGAGGCCGCGAGCCAUGUCGGACCAUGUGUUGAUGAAAUGCAGAGAGGAUAGCCCAUCAGCCAAAGUAUGAAAGACACCACAACCAAGACCAACUCCUCCACACUUGAAAUGGGUUACCUGGUCAAAAUUAGUCAACAGUUAGAUAACAAAUUUGACUUCUAAAAGUCAACCGAGUCUUCACCUAUUGACGUGACUCAUAGAAAAAAGAGUAAACUACCAAAAUAGUCCCUAAGUUUGCUCUAGAAAAAAUUAACCAUUUGAUCAAAUGCAAAUCAAACUUACACUCUACUCAACUCCGUGUAGGGCUGUAAAAAGUCAAUAUCAACAUUAAACAUAUGGCCAAAUUCUUUAAUUAGCCCCCAAAACACAUUUCAUAAUUUCUAGGGACCUACCUAAAAGAAGUUUUAGAGCUACAGAUCCUGUAACGGGAAAGUAAAUUAUAGAUCCGUGUCAAAUAAUGUUUUCUAAUUUUAGAACUACAAUUUAUGUGGUGGAUACUUGUCCCUUUCAUCAAUAAAUUCGGUGAUCACAAAAUCAAAGAAAAGUAUUAUUAGUUCUAGAUCUUGUACACCACAAAUCAGGGGACAGAUAAAAAAAACAGCAAGACACCACAAACAGAUAAAACUAACGCGUAACUCAAGCCGUAAGAAAAUAACAAUACGGACCAUAUUAAACGGGGGAAAUUGCAUGUAUGAUGUAUCGACUGAGAAUGAAAUGACUAAUUUGUCUAUUGAUAAAGGCAUACGGCGCGUCUGAUGUGACAAAUGAACCGAUGUAUUCUUUUGGAGUGGUGUGUCUUUCUACCUUCACAUAAAUCAUCGUUCAAUAGAUACCACUAACAUGUCAUACAUGCCCUAUGACAAGGAGAAAAUGGCAAUAUGAGUCGUUUAACUGGGUGAAAAUAGUGAUUUGGGUCAUACUAUGGCCAUAAACAUAUUAACUGAUAUUUUUUUAGGCAAAUUUGAAUCAUUGACAGACCACUUGAAUUACUGACGGAUGACCUAAUGGUCCCUAAACCUUGUCCCACCUUCAAAAUACCACUAGUUAUAAUCUCAUAGACAAUGAAAUGACUGAUGUAACAAGCCAUACGAACGAAGCAUAUCAAGUGACAGAUGGACUAGUGGACACGGUAUCUAUCUCCUUACCCAACCCACAAGUUAUUGUUCACUAGAUUGAUUUAACAUAUAUUUUUAGCUUCAAAGUGGCAGAUCUGAUCAUAAUACUUUAACCAUAAACAUAUUCAAAAUAGUAACUAAACUUAAAACCAAUAUACCUGAGCAAAAAACAGCGGAUAAGAAGAAAUGUCACCGGAAUAAUCCACAGUGGGCGUAAGUCGCCGGAGCUCCGGCGACGGCGUAAACUCACCAAAAUCAUCCAAAGUAGAAUCGGACUCGGCUUCGACAAACAAAACACCCUCAUCAUUACAAUUAAUAACAACUUUGCCAUUCUGAUCUUUACCCAUACGACCAGCCAUUGGAUAAAAGGUAACAAGAACAUCUGCAAGCGCCUUCUUCAUGACAAGAGGAUCAAAGAAGUUGGAGCAAACGAUCGGACGGUAGAAAUAAACGGUUAAAAUAUGGAUUCUGCCAACGACCAAAUCCAAGUUGGAAGUCCAUAACUGCUUUGUAGAAGCUUGUGUGGGCUUCGAAGGUUGUACAAACGUUGUUUGUUUGAUGUUGAUGUUCAAUGUCUUUUGAACAGUCCCCAUGGGUUGUUUAGGGGGGUUUGGUUUGGUGAGUGAGAUGGAGGUUGAAGA
rnacentral:lncRNA from 1 species